GAUUGAACGCUGGCGGCAGGCCUAACACAUGCAAGUCGAACGGUAACAGGAAGAAGCUUGCUUCUUUGCUGACGAGUGGCGGACGGGUGAGUAAUGUCUGGGAAACUGCCUGAUGGAGGGGGAUAACUACUGGAAACGGUAGCUAAUACCGCAUAACGUCGCAAGACCAAAGAGGGGGACCUUCGGGCCUCUUGCCAUCGGAUGUGCCCAGAUGGGAUUAGCUAGUAGGUGGGGUAACGGCUCACCUAGGCGACGAUCCCUAGCUGGUCUGAGAGGAUGACCAGCCACACUGGAACUGAGACACGGUCCAGACUCCUACGGGAGGCAGCAGUGGGGAAUAUUGCACAAUGGGCGCAAGCCUGAUGCAGCCAUGCCGCGUGUAUGAAGAAGGCCUUCGGGUUGUAAAGUACUUUCAGCGGGGAGGAAGGGAGUAAAGUUAAUACCUUUGCUCAUUGACGUUACCCGCAGAAGAAGCACCGGCUAACUCCGUG
rnacentral:rRNA from 1 species